AGAGUUUGAUCAUGGCUCAGAUUGAACGCUGGCGGAAUGCUUUACACAUGCAAGUCGAACGGCAGCACGGGGCAACCUGGUGGCGAGUGGCGAACGGGUGAGUAAUACAUCGGAACGUGCCCAAUCGUGGGGGAUAACGUAGCGAAAGUUACGCUAAUACCGCAUACGAUCUACGGAUGAAAGCGGGGGAUCGCAAGACCUCGCGCGAGUGGAGCGGCCGAUGUCAGAUUAGGUAGUUGGUGGGGUAAAGGCUCACCAAGCCAACGAUCUGUAGCUGGUCUGAGAGGACGACCAGCCACACUGGAACUGAGACACGGUCCAGACUCCUACGGGAGGCAGCAGUGGGGAAUUUUGGACAAUGGGCGCAAGCCUGAUCCAGCCAUUCCGCGUGCAGGAUGAAGGCCUUCGGGUUGUGAACUGCUUUUGUACGGAACGAAACGGCGAGCUCUAAUACAGUUUGCUAAUGACGGUACCGUAAGAAUAAGCACCGGCUAACUACGUG
rnacentral:rRNA from 1 species